rnacentral:rRNA from 1 species
GACGAACGCUGGCGGCGUGCUUAACACAUGCAAGUCGAACGGAAAGGCCCUGCUUUUGUGGGGUGCUCGAGUGGCGAACGGGUGAGUAACACGUGAGUAACCUGCUCUUGACUUUGGGAUAACUUCAGGAAACUGGGGCUAAUACCGGAUAGGAGCUCCUGCUGCAUGGUGGGGGUUGGAAAGUUUCGGCGGUUGGGGAUGGACUGGCGGCUUAUCAGCUUGCUGGUGGGGUAGUGGCUUACCAAGGCAUUGACGGGUAGCCGGCCUGAGAGGGUGACCGGCCACAUUGGGACUGAGAUACGGCCCAGACUCCUACGGGAGGCAGCAGUGGGGAAUAUUGCACAAUGGGCGGAAGCCUGAUGCAGCAACGCCGCGUGCGGGAUGACGGCCUGCGGGUUGUAAACCGCUGUCGCCUGUGACGAAGCGUGAGUGACGGUAAUGAGUAAAGAAGCACCGGCUAACUACGUG